rnacentral:rRNA from 1 species
AGAUAGAAAAUAGGUGCCCGUACCGCAAACCGACACAGGUAGUCAAGAUGAGAAUUCUAAGGUGAGCGAGCGAACUCUCGUUAAGGAACUCGGCAAAAUGACCCCGUAACUUCGGGAGAAGGGGUGCUCUUUAGGGUUAACGCCCAGAAGAGCCGCAGUGAAUAGGCCCAAGCGACUGUUUAUCAAAAACACAGGUCUCUGCUAAACCGUAAGGUGAUGUAUAGGGGCUGACGCCUGCCCGGUGCUGGAAGGUUAAGAGGAGUGGUUAGCUUCUGCGAAGCUACGAAUCGAAGCCCCAGUAAACGGCGGCCGUAACUAUAACGGUCCUAAGGUAGCGAAAUUCCUUGUCGGGUAAGUUCCGACCCGCACGAAAGGCGUAACGAUUUGGGCACUGUCUCAACGAGAGACUCGGUGAAAUCAUAGUACCUGUGAAGAUGCAGGUUACCCGCGACAGGACGGAAAGACCCCGUGGAGCUUUACUGUAGCCUGAUAUUGAAAUUCGGCACAGCUUGUACAGGAUAGGUAGGAGCCUUUGAAACGUGAGCGCUAGCUUACGUGGAGGCGCUGGUGGGAUACUACCCUAGCUGUGUUGGCUUUCUAACCCGCACCACUUAUCGUGGUGGGAGACAGUGUCAGGCGGGCAGUUUGACUGGGGCGG